rnacentral:rRNA from 1 species
UUAAAUUGAAGAGUUUGAUCAUGGCUCAGAUUGAACGCUGGCGGCAGGCUUAACACAUGCAAGUCGAACGGUAACAUGAGUGCUUGCACUUGAUGACGAGUGGCGGACGGGUGAGUAAGGUAUGGGGAUCUGCCG